rnacentral:rRNA from 1 species
UACGGAGGGUGCAAGCGUUAAUCGGAAUUACUGGGCGUAAAGCGUGCGCAGGCGGUGAGCUGUGUCCGAUGUGAAAGCCCCGGGCUUAACCUGGGAAUGGCAUUGGAAACUGGCUCGCUGGAGUGUGGCAGAGGGGGGUGGAAUUCCGCGUGUAGCAGUGAAAUGCGUAGAGAUGCGGAGGAACACCGAUGGCGAAGGCAGCCCCCUGGGCUAACACUGACGCUCAGGCACGAAAGCGUGGGGAGCAAACAGG